AGCGAACGCUGGCGGCAGGCCUAACACAUGCAAGUCGAACGGAUCCUUCGGGAUUAGUGGCGGACGGGUGAGUAACACGUGGGAACGUGCCCUUUGGUUCGGAACAACUCAGGGAACCUUGAGCUAAUACCGGAUGGGCCCUUCGGGGGAAAGAUUUAUCGCCAUUGGAGCGGCCCGCGUCUGAUUAGCUAGUUGGUGAGGUAAAGGCUCACCAAGGCGACGAUCAGUAGCUGGUCUGAGAGGAUGAUCAGCCACAUUGGGACUGAGACACGGCCCAAACUCCUACGGGAGGCAGCAGUGGGGAAUCUUGCGCAAUGGGCGAAAGCCUGACGCAGCCAUGCCGCGUGAAUGAUGAAGGUCUUAGGAUUGUAAAAUUCUUUCACCGGGGACGAUAAUGACGGUACCCGGAGAAGAAGCCCCGGCUAACCUCGUGCCAGCCGCCGCCGUAAUAC
rnacentral:rRNA from 1 species